rnacentral:rRNA from 1 species
GACGAAGGUGGCAAGCGUUACUCGGAAUUACUAGGCGUAAAGCGUGAGCAGGCGGUUCGGCAAGUCUGUCGUGAAAGCCUUGGGCUCAACCCAGGGAGGUCGAUGGAUAACUGCCGGGCUUGAAUACGGGAGAGGUCACUGGAAUUCCUGGUGUAGCGGUGGAAAUGACGCAGAGUAUCAGGAGGAACACCGGUGGCGAAGGCGGUUCUCUGGGCAUGAUCUGACGCUGAGGAGCGAAAGUGUGGGGAGCGAAACAGG